ACUAGAGAACCACAGCGAGCACGACGCCGAAACUCCCGGCGUCUACUCCUUCUUCUCCGCCUCUUCACCUUUCCAUCAUCACCGAUCCAACUCGCCACGAUCCUUGCCGCCACAAAAGCCUUGUUAUUCCGAUCUACGCCAAACAUGGCUAAGCCCUCAUGGACAGCAAAAGGGACAUGGUGGAUCAAUGGGACAGCCAAGAUACAAGGGUAGAACCUAACUGUAUUUUCCACGGGAGGAAGAACGACCACCACGGAUGACCGACGGCGGCGGCGGCGGCAAAACCCUAGGCCCUAUUCUCCCCUUCCCUCUUCUCCUUUCUCUUUUCUCCCCUCUCCUCUUUUUAUCAUGAAUAUGAAAAGCUAUGGAUGAAAC
rnacentral:lncRNA from 1 species